rnacentral:rRNA from 1 species
UACAGAGGUCUCAAGCGUUGUUCGGAUUCAUUGGGCGUAAAGGGUGCGUAGGUGGCGCUGUAAGUCGGGUGUGAAAUUUCGGAGCUUAACUCCGAAACUGCAUUCGAUAACUGCGGUGCUUGAGGACUGGAGAGGAGACUGGAAUUCAUGGUGUAGCAGUGGAAAUGCGUAGAGAUCAUGAGGAAGACCAGUGGCGAAGGCGG